CCCAGGGGUAUUUCGGGGUUCUGAGGGCACUCCUGGGAAUUUGGCAGUGUGGGAGUCUCAAGGGGCUCCGAAGGAGUGUAGCAGCUAUGACUAGAUCCUGGAUCCCCAGAUUGGAAACCUUAGUUAAUGUCUCAUGAUGAUUCCCGUAGUCCCAAGAGCCGUCUUCUCACAGUCAUGGCCUGCUGGAGUUUCAGAGUAACCUCAAACAUACAAAGAAAAAGCCAUUUCAUAAUAACUGGCAAUUUCAUUAUCAGAAUGUCAAGAGCCUUCAGGGGAGAGAGCAGUGUAAUGUUUUGAGCUCUGGACCCAGGUUUAUAGCAAUCACAGAAGUAUCUUCUCCCCAGGAGAAACCUUUCUACCGUGAUAGGAGGGAAGAGUUUUGAGAUGAAAACGUACUAUAACCAAAGCAAAUAGUUCCUCCAGAUUCCUACUGCCUCAAGCCUUCUGUAGUCAAGGCCUGUAUCAGGUUUCUGCAUAUCCAAAUUGUCUAACUUUUAGACACAUAGGGGAACACGGAGGAUUGUCAGGAUGUCUUAACAGAGCUGUCUUUCCUAACAAAAGGAAUCAAGCAUUUAUCUGCAGAUUUGUAGGGAAAUGAAAUAAUUCUGCCUUCUAACUACCAAAUCCCAAGCAGUGGAAGAGAUAUGGAUGAUUUCAAGAUUGUUCCAAAAUCAUUUUAUGGUUUAAAUUGUUCCUUCUCACUUUACGGUUUCUGCCAUUCUGAUUUACUCUUCAGGCCUCACGCCCAAGGUGCCUGUAAAUCGUGACCAGCUUUCAUCAUUCUUCAGGAUGCGGGACAGUACAGAGAACAAGGCUGGCUUUGGAAAGAAGAAUGAAAGUACCAUGAAGACAAGACUUGGGUCCUGCUGUGCCAGUGCCAUCCAGAGAUGUGAGCAGUUAAAGAAUGAGGUGGUAUGGAGCUGGGAGAUUGAUAUUCUUUGGCCAGGCAACAUGGCUGGGGACAGGCAGUCCACAGGAGGUCUCUUUGCUAAGAACUUGGCUUCCGUUCUGCUUGUCAAGAGUGGCUUGUAGCUCUGAGUAGUCCAGGAGAUUUCUCCUGUUUGUUCCUUCAGAUUGAAGGCGUAGACAGAAAGGAAAUGCAAUUUUCUAGAAGCUCCAAACUGCUGCUGGAUAUGUGAGUGUUCUAUAUUAGGACAAUACCUUUCUGAUGUUGAAUUGUUGGCAUUGAGACUUCCCCAUUCAGUCCAAGAUGGUCCUGUGUUAGAUGAUAAAAAUGAAUUUAAGGGAAACCACAUGAUGACUCCUAGUCAUUAAAAUAGCUGUCAUGUACUACCUCAGCACUGUCUGGACACCAGUGAAUAUGAUACCUCACUGUUAUCUUUCCUUUGGCAUUAUGCCAUGGGCAUUUGUGGCCAAGCUUCCUGGUUUGUCUGAGACUGAGGGGUUUCCCAGGUUGUGGGACGUUCAGUGCUAAAGCCAAGAGAGACCCUGGCAAAUCAGGACCAUUGAUCACAGUUGUGUGGGAGAGCCUGAUUAGCUACACCCUGUGCUCAGCUUUAUUUCAUGUGUCUCCUCUACCACCUCUGACCCAGAC
ensembl:lncRNA